GACGAACGCUGGCGGCGUGCUUAACACAUGCAAGUCGAACGGAAAGGCCCUGCUUUUGUGGGGUGCUCGUGUGGCGAACGGGUGAGUAACACGUGAGUAACCUGCCCUUGACUUUGGGAUAACUUCAGGAAACUGGGGCUAAUACCGGAUAGGAGCUCCUGCUGCAUGGUGGGGGUUGGAAAGUUUCGGCGGUUGGGGAUGGACUCGCGGCUUAUCAGCUUGUUGGUGGGGUAGUGGCUUACCAAGGCUUUGACGGGUAGCCGGCCUGAGAGGGUGACCGGCCACAUUGGGACUGAGAUACGGCCCAGACUCCUACGGGAGGCAGCAGUGGGGAAUAUUGCACAAUGGGCGGAAGCCUGAUGCAGCAACGCCGCGUGCGGGAUGACGGCCUUCGGGUUGUAAACCGCUUUCGCCUGUGACGAAGCGUGAGUGACGGUAAUGGGUAAAGAAGCACCGGCUAACUACGUG
rnacentral:rRNA from 1 species